GCCGACUUCCCCUUCCCAGCCCCGCUGCGCCCUGCGGGGCCCUGUCGGCGGUGGGGGCUGCGGACCCGGGAGCGCGCGGCCGCGCUGCACGUGCAGGGACCGGUAGGCGCCGGGGUCAGCGCCAGCGUUUGAUGUGCGGCGGGGAGCGGGCCGAGCCCCGGGAGGCCGCUUCGCACCUCCCAGUGUGUCCGGGUUGAGCGCGAGGUCAGGAGGGGACGCAGAGUUCACGGCGAAGACGGAUCGCGGGGGCUCGUCCCGCCCGGGUUGCGCGCAGCGGGGGCCGCGUGAUGGAUGGGCCGGGCCGGGCACCCGGGAACCCGCGAGCGCGGGGCUGGGCUCUGGGCUGCGUCCGGGGGCCCCGACUUGGUUAUUGAUCGGCCCAAGCGCAGGAGAACUGACUCUAUAAUGCAUCGCCUGACCAGGAAAAGUGUUUGCUUUUGUGGGAGCAAAAGACAACUUUCUGCCCCGCCAGAGCGUUGCUAAGUGAGCGGUAAUGACCACGCUAGAAAUUUCAUAGGGAGAGGCUAAUGGCAGGCUGACUCUAAAAGUGCUUUUAAGUGCAACUUCUGUCUAAUCCCUUGAGGGGGAAGAAAACAUCGGCGACUAAGAAAGUUCAAGUUGUACAGGACCCGGGUUUUUGGGGUCGGGGUCACUUCUGCUCUGCGUGACUUUGAAGAGGAAGACCUGCGGUUUUUUCCAGUGGAUUUUCACACGUGUUUUAAAGAGAACUCCCGGCUCCUGAAAUGAAAGGCCCGCCUGUAGGGUUUUGCUGCCUCCCCUCUGCCCACGCCCCACCCCCACAGCCUGGAUCAAAGCGAUCAGACAAAUUAUUCAGAAGUAACACAGCCCUGAAAUGUUCCUAAACGUGACUAUUUGAGGCGAUGAAUCAAGCGUGUUCCCUCCGCCCCCAACCCACCCCCAGACCGAAAAUGUGACUCUGGAAACGGACUUGCAGAGCUGGCUUCGGUUUAUAUGCGGUUCUGACCCCUGUUGACUUUAGGACAAGCCUUCCUGUUUCCAGUACUGCAGCAUCGCCAGACAGCCUCGCCAUGCAAUCGGCUUUCCAGAUACGAUUUCACUCCUCACCAAAGACACUUCUUUAGGGCGAUUUUAGGAUUCUAUCAACGCUAGUAAAGGAACUACUUAAACACGUUGAUUUGUAUCGCCUUCCCUGACUAUGAAACAUUGAAGGGGAAUACUACUCAUCAAUAAAAAAAAUAUAAACUCCUGAUACACCUCAUGGAUGGAUGCAUAGAUGGAUGGAUGGAUCUGAAAAACAUCGUGCUGAAUAAAAGAAGCCAGACAUGAAAGAGUACGUACAAUAUGAUUUCUUUUAUCUGAAGUUCUGGAACAGGUAAAAUUAAUCUAUGGUAACUUAAGUCAGAACUGGGAGUACUUCUGGUGGGAGGAUUUAGUGGGAAGGGGCAUAAAAGAUCUUCCUGUGUCUUGAUAGAAGUGUGGGUUUUACAAGUGUAUGCAUUUGUAAAACUCAUUGAACUGCAUGCUUAAUAUUCGUGCAUUUCACUGUAUGUAAGCCAUUCUUCAGUAAGAUACAUGAAAAAAGAAAGUCAUAUAAAAGUCAUAAUAUAACAGAAGAGGAAUUCUGGAGUUCUUGUGGAAUAUGCUAUGUCAGAAAACUGCUAAAGAAUAAGUGGAGUGAUUUUUUAAAGACAAGGAAUCAGAUAAAUGUAAGAAUUUCAAAAUCAAAGAAUGUGUUUAGUGGCAGAAUUGCAAUAUUAAUUAUUCCUUAGAGUUACAUUCCCCACAAUGUGUUGUUUGGCAUAUUAAAAGGCAUUCUAUUCAAAACGAUUCUAUAGUCAUAAAUUUGGGAAGCUGUAGGUUAAACGGAGUUAUAUAGGAUUUCUUCCCUAGUACUUCUCAGACUCUUUAAAAUGCGCAUCCUUAGUGUGGGCCUUGUUAUGGGUUGAAUUCUACCUCCCCAAAAAGGUAGGUUGAAGUCCUCAUACCUGUUGAUAUGAUUUUAAUUGGAUAUAAGGGUUUUGCAGAUGUAAUUAAUUAAGGUCAUACUGGAUUUACGGUGGGCCCUUCAUCCUAUAUGACUGGUGUCCUUGUAAGAGUAGGACAGAGACAGAGAGAGGGGGCGGGGGAGAGAGAGAGAGAGAGGGAGAGACCAGGGAGAGGAUGCCCAUGUGAUGAUGGAGGCAGAGAUGGGAGUGAUGCAUCUAUAAGCCAAGGAGGGCCAAGAACAGCUGGCAAACACCAGAGGCUGAAAGAGACGAGGAAGGAUUCCUCUAUAGGUUUCUAUAUCAGUUCCUUCUCAUGCUACUAAUGAAAGACAUACCUGAGACUGGGAAAUUUAUAAGGGAAAGAGGUUUAAUUGACUCACAGUUCAGGAAACUUACAAUCAUGGUGGACGGGGAAGCAAGCAUGUCCUUCUUUACAUGAUGGCAGGAAGGAGAAGUGCAGAGAGAAGGGGGGAAAGCCCCUUAUAAAACCAUCAGAUCUCAUGAGAACACACUCACUAUCACCAGAAAAGCAUGAAGGCAAUCACCCCCAUGAUUCAAUUACCUCUCAUUGGGUCCCUCCCACCACAGGUAGGAAUUAUGUGAAUUACACUUCAGUAUGAGAUUUGGGUGGGGACAGCCAAACAAACCACAUCAGCUUCAGAUGGAGCUGGGCUCUGUUGACAUCUUGACCUCUGAUCUCAGACUUCUAGCCUGCAGAACUGUGAGAGAAUAAAUUUCUAUUGUUUCAAGCCGCCUGUCUGUGGUACUUUGUUAGAGCAGACACAGGAACCAUACAAACCUCUAGGAAAAAGAUGUGAUGAUCUCACGUUUCCCAGAUUGGUCUGAUCAUACAAUCUUCUGCACUUUCCAUGGCAUGUCUGGAGAGUGUUUGGCCCGCCCAGUGUGGUAAUCCCUGCCUGCUGGGACGGCCUUUCCUUCAACUAUUCAUGUUAUUCUUGCUUACCUUAAGAGCAGUGUGGUAUGCAGAAUGAUGGCCCCCAAAGAUGUCCACAUCCUAGUCCUGGAAUGUGGGAAUAUGUGAGUUACAUGGCAAAGAGGAAUUAAGGGAGCACAUGGAGUUAAGCU
rnacentral:lncRNA from 1 species